CAGCCGCCGCGGGAAUACGAAGGGUGCAAGCGUUGCUCGGAAUUACUGGGCGUAAAGCGUGCGUAGGUGGUUCGUUAAGUCUGAUGUGAAAGCCCUGGGCUCAACCUGGGAAUUGCAUUGGAUACUGGCGAGCUAGAGUGCGGUAGAGGGUAGUGGAAUUCCCGGUGUAGCGGUGAAAUGCGUAGAGAUUAGGAGGAACACCAGUGGCGAAGGCGGCUUUUUGGCCUGUAACUGACACUGAGGCGCGAAAGCGUGGGGAGCAAACAGGAUUAGAUACCCCUGUAGUCCCUGUCUCUUAUAC
rnacentral:rRNA from 1 species